CGGCGAGUUCUCAAACCCCGCAGAACUCGGCAAACUGCUUCAGUUGGUACUGGCCUGUGCUAUCAGUUGUGAGAAAAAGCAGGAGUAUAUCCAAAGAAUUAUGAUGCUGGAGGAAUCUGUUCAACAUGUUGUGAUGGAAGCCAUCCAGGAGCUCAUGACCAAAGACACACCUGAUUCCCUGUCACCAGAGAAUUACGGGAACUUUGAUACACAGUCCCGCAGGUACUAUUUCCUGAGCGAGGAGGUGGAAGAGGGUGGCGAUCUUCAGCAACACUACCUGGAUCUGGAGCGGCAGCUUGUGCUCCUUUCAGAGGAGAAGCAGAGUCUGGCACAAGAGAAUGCUGCCCUACGGGAGAGGGUGGGCCGGUCGGAAGUGGAGAGUGCCUCAGGCCUCACCGCCAAGAAGCUGUUGCUUCUGCAGUCACAGCUAGAACAGCUCCAGGAGGAGAAUUUCAGGCUGGAGAGUAGCCGGGAAGAUGAGCGGCUACGCUGCGUGGAACUGGAGCGUGAGGUCGCUGAGCUGCAGCAACGGAACCAAGCCCUGGCCAGCUUAUCCCAGGAGGCGCAAGCGCUGAAGGAUGAGAUGGAUGAGCUCCGACAGUCCUCCGAACGUGCAAGGCAGCUGGAGGCCACUCUGAACAGCUGCCGUCGUCGCCUGGGUGAGCUCCAGGAGCUCCGGCGGCAGGUGCGGCAGCUGGAGGAGCGAAAUGCAGGGCACGCGGAGCGCACGCGGCAGCUGGAGGAUGAGCUGCGCCGGGCCGGAUCCCUGCGUGCCCAGCUCGAGGCUCAGCGCAGGCAGGUAAGGCAGAUGCAAGAGUUGCAGGGCCAGUGGCAGGAGGAGGCCAUGAAGGCUGAGAAGUGGCUGU
rnacentral:lncRNA from 1 species